UCUCUUUAUUAUUUAUUUAUUUUCUUCUCAGAAACAUUUCUAAAAGCAAACAAAACACCCCUUCUUGUUUUUCUCGGUUCUUCUCUCAUAUAACUUCUUCUACUGAUUUCAUUUCAAAAUGAUCUAAAGCAAAGGAAAGAUUUGUGGCUUUUAAAUCCGAAGUGGAGAUUCCAUCAUGGGCUAGGUUUUUCUUACACAAAGAGUACGAAGAGAAGUUGCAGCAGUAAGCCGGGAUGAGCUUACAGCGAGCCUAGAAGCUUUGAAAGUUAGUAUUUUGUAAGUCUGUGAUAUUGUAUAUCACAGGGGUACCUGGGUAGUUAGUUUUUGCUUUAGUCCCAUGUCAUUUUGUCGAAUUUUUGCAUGUAUAUAUACGGCAUACAGAACCUUCUUUUCUCGUUGGGAUAUGGGCAUAUCUUCAUUUACAUACUAGUAUCUUCUUAGAACUCAUUUUAGUUGAACCUUAAUGUAUUAGCAGGUCCCCCUUUGCGUAUUUCUAUCUAUCUGGAGCACCGCUCAUGUAUACUUAAAUUUUUAUUUAGAUGAACAUAAAUGAUGAUGGGAAAUGUUGUGUAUUGACUGUCAUUUUAAGAAAAUGGUGUACUUGGAUUUCACUGUGUAAACAUUAUGUUUUCCAUGAUUCA